CAGCGCCGCGGUAAUACGGAGGGUGCAAGCGUUAAUCGGAAUUACUGGGCGUAAAGCGCACGCAGGCGGUCUGACAAGUCAGAUGUGAAAUCCCCGGGCUUAACCUGGGAACUGCAUUUGAAACUGUCAGGCUGGAGUCUUGUAGAGGGGGGUGGAAUUCCAGGUGUAGCGGUGAAAUGCGUAGAGAUCUGGAGGAAUACCGGUGGCGAAGGCGGCCCCCUGGACAAAGACUGACGCUCAGGUGCGAAAGCGUGGGGAGCAAACAGGAUUAGAUACCCCUGUAGUCCCUGUCUCUUAUACA
rnacentral:rRNA from 1 species